UUAAGUGAAGAGUUUGAUCCUGGCUCAGAGUGAACGCUGGCGGUAGGCCUAACACAUGCA
rnacentral:rRNA from 1 species